rnacentral:rRNA from 1 species
CACGCCCUAAACGAUGGAUACUAGACGAGGGGGACCUUAAGUCUUCCGUGUCGCAGCUAACGCACUAAGUAUCCCGCCUGGGGAGUACGGCCGCAAGGCUAAAACUCAAAGAAAUUGACGGGGACCCGCACAAGCAGCGGAGCAUGUGGAUUAAUUCGAAGCAACGCGAAGAACCUUACCAAGGCUUGACAUCGGAUGCAUAGUAUGGAAACAUAUAAAGCCCUUCGGGGCAUCCAGACAGGUGG